rnacentral:rRNA from 1 species
UUGGAGGAAAGCAGGGGAUCGUAAGACCUUGCGCUUUUGGAGUGGCCGAUGCCUGAUUAGCUAGUUGGUGGGGUAAGAGCCUACCAAGGCGACGAUCAGUAGUUGGUCUGAGAGGACGACCAGCCACACUGGGACUGAGACACGGCCCAGACUCCUACGGGAGGCAGCAGUGGGGAAUUUUGGACAAUGGGCGAAAGCCUGAUCCAGCAAUGCCGCGUGAGUGAAGAAGGCCUUCGGGUUGUAAAGCUCUUUCAGUCGAGAAGAAAAGGUUGUGACUAAUAAUCACAACUCAUGACGGUAUCGACAGAAGAAGCACCGGCUAACUACGUGCCAGCAGCCGCGGUAGUACGUAGGGUGCGAGCGUUAAUCGGAAUUACUGGGCGUAAAGGGUGCGCAGGCGGCUUUGUAAGUCAGAUGUGA